UUCCGGUUGAUCCCGCCGGAGGCGACCGCUAUUGGAGUUCGAUUAAGCCAUGCGAGUCGAGAGCUUUCGGAGCUCGGCAAACUGCUCAGUAACACGUGGAUAACGUGCCCUGUCACCCGGAAUAACCUCGGGAAACUGAGAACAAGGCCGGAUAGCUCACCAUGCCUGGAACGGUUGGUGGGCCAAGGACAGGAUGGGUCUGCGGCGUAUCAGGUUGUAGGGGGUGUAACGGACCCCCUAGCCAUCGACGCGUACGGGUUGUGGGAGCAAUAGCCCGGAGAUGGAUUCUGGGACACGAAUCCAGACCCUACGGGGUGCAGCAGGCGCGAAAACUCCACACUGCAGGAAACUGUGAUGAGGGAACUCCAAGUGCCAGGGCGUAUAGCCCUGCGUCUGUCGUGAUCUCUUCAAAGGAUCACAAGAAAGGGGCGGGAAAGACCGGUGCCAGCCGCCGCGGUAAUACCGGCGCCUCGAGUGGUCGUCGCUCUUAUUGGGCCUAAAACGUCCGUAGCCGGCUCGGUAAACCCGUGGGUAAAUCAAUCCGCUCAACGGAUUGAAUUCUGCGGAGACUGCCGGGCUAGGGACCGGGAGAGGUACGAGGUACUCUUGGGGUAGGGGUAAAAUCCUGUCAUCCCAAGAGGACCACCUGUUGCGAAGGCGUCGUACUGGAACGGAUCCGACGGUCAGGGACGAAGCCUGGGGGCACGAACCGGAUUAGAUACCCGGGUAGUCCCAGGUGUAAACGCUGUGGACUAGGUGUCGGGGUUCCUUCUGGGGAUCCCGGUGCCGGAGCGAAGGUGUUGAGUCCACUGCCUGGGGAGUACGGUCGCAAGGCUGAAACUUAAAGGAAUUGGCGGGGCAGCAC
rnacentral:rRNA from 1 species